GCUCUUUGCUCCCUAGACUUUGGCUUCUUUAUUUCCAUUAAACCCCAGAUUUUGGAAAAGCAGACUCUCAGACUCCACAGCGGAGCUCCGGAAUGCUGCCCCAGGUUGGGCUGGAUGCAACUUUCUUUGCCAAAGCUUCUGUGGUGGUCCUGAUGCACUCCCAUGGUCAAAGGUCACCCACCUGAAGACCUGCACCCUUCCACAUCCGCUGAGCAUGAAUCUCCAUGAGAGCAGGACUCCACUGAAGCAGAAAUCCAGAGCCAAGAAGGACACAGAGUUUCUGGGGAUGGCAUUAGCCCAGGGCCCUGUUCAUUGUUUUGUGGAUGUAGAAACCAAAGCCAGAAGGACAGGUGACUUGCUCAGGGGCAUCCAGUCCAGGAGAUCACAUGGCACCUGUACCUUCUUACAGAAUCCCCAACCUGUGCAAAGGAAGUCAGCCCUGAUGGGGUAGGAUUCUAAAGAUGUUAUAGAUUAAGCUGGGUUUUCCCUGGCAUCCAUGGAAUUGCAGAAUUUUUAAACUGAAGGGACCUCAGGAAGAAGGACAACUGGGAAAAAGGAGUCACCUAUCCUGUACCACCUACCCCCCUGAGCACUUUAUUUCACUUAACUUCAGAUUAAAUGAAGCAUUAUUAUUUCAUGUUUCCAAUGAGAGAAUGAAGGUUCAGGUGAUGAAGGUAAAUUCCCCAAGAUCAUAUAACAUGGAAGUUGGAGAGCUAGGACUCAAACUCACAAUCUUCUGGCUUCAAGUCACCAUUCCCUGAGAGGAAUCUAGAGACAGUCUAUCUACCAGGUUCAUUUUCUUUACUUGCUAGGUGAACAAAUGUGGCCUGCAGAGCUCAAUGGCUUCACCAAGGUCAAGAGUGAGUGAAUGCCAUGGCUGGGGCUGCUCUGGUCCAUGUGUUUUCCAUGCCAGAGGGUGGCCUCCUAGAGUUCUUUGGUGAUGCCUCUAGCUCUGGAUGACACCAGGCUGGUGGAGGCAGAUCCAAUGGACCAGGGAUGGAGACCUUCAUGCCACUGCUCCCUCUUCAUGGCAUCCAGAGCUCCAGGAGUCCCUUUGGAUCAGACCAAGCCACAGCCACCUUCCAGAAGGAGCCACUGGGGUGGCCAUCAAAGGCUUGGGACACACAAGCUUGGGGCAGUGGUCCAGGGGUAAAGGCCUCCAGUCUUAGGGCCUUCCCCUCCUCAUGGCCCCUGGGCCUCUCUUCUUACCUUGGGGUGCUGGCUUUUCCUUUGCUGGUUAGACCUGUGGCCCAGGGACUUCACUCAGGGCCACCCCAAGGGAGGAAUGAUGAGGGUGACCCAGUUCCUCAUUGCCGGCCUCUCCACCCUCCACCGUCUGCCUUGCUCUGUAACAUUUCUGUGAGCUUCCAGCACACACCAGCAGCCAGCCCAUCUUCUGAUUAGUUUCAGCCUGGUAAGUCCUUCCUGCCGCUGAACCACCUGUCUCCCGAGAGGACCUACAGCCAACGCCUCCCACACCAGAUGGCCACCCCCUCCUGCCCCUCCAUAGUGUUCCAGCCAAGGCCAGGCCAGGCAUGGACAGAAGAGGACCUGAGCGACUGCAGCCAAGGUCAAAGUGGCCAUCUGGACACAGGUAUCAGCAGUGUGGAGGGGCUGCCCCAGAAAUGGCUUUAGCGGGGGAGAUGUUUCUCAGGCAUUCAGCUCUUGGUUUUCUAU
rnacentral:lncRNA from 1 species